rnacentral:lncRNA from 1 species
AUGCACUGUAUGUGGGUUUUUUUUUUUUUUUUUUUUUUUUACGUCUUCAUAAAGCAAGUUCAAUAUGAUUUAAUUCUCGCGUUGCAGGAGAGAAGGCCAGGCUGCUGCCUGCCCUGUUUCAAUGUGUGGCGUUUGGCAAUGGACUAUGACAGCCUCCCUCUUGCCGCUAACUCGGUGUCACAUGAGCACUCCGAAGGUGACUUGAGAUUUGGAGAAUUGAGGAGCUUGGAUUCCCUUGAAACGAGGGAACUGGGAUCAACCCAGCUGGUCCUCUGCGUGAAUGUCCGACCGUGGGGCAGUCGGGUUGGCCAGAGUAUGCACUUCUUCCCACAUAGUGUGUCCUCAGUAGAGGUAUGGUUCACUGAAUGAUGUGGGAGAGGGUGGGAGUGGGGAGAAGAGAGUCAAGAGAG